GGUGUUGUGGAAAGUUUUUUCGGUGUGGGAUGGACCCGCGGCCUAUCAGCUUGUUGGUGGGGUAAUGGCCUACCAAGGCGGUGACGGGUAGCCGGCCUGAGAAGGUGGACGGCCACAUUAGGGCUGAGACACGGCCCAGACUCCUACCGGAGGCAACAGUUGGGAAUCUUGCACAAUGGGCGGAAGCCUGAUGCGACGACGCCGCGGGUGGGAUGACGGCCUUCGGGGUGUAAACUCCUUUCACCCUCGGCGAAGGGUUUCUGACGGUAGAUGGAGAAGAAGCCCCGGCCAACUACGGGCCAGCAGCCGCGGUAAUACCUAGGGUGCGAGCGUUGUCCGGAAUUUCUUGGCGUAAAGAGCUCGUAGGUGGUUUGGCGCGUUGUCUGUGAAAUUCCGGGGCUUAACUCCGGGCGGCAGGCGAUAC
rnacentral:rRNA from 1 species